AGUGAACGCUGGCGGUAGGCCUAACACAUGCAAGUCGAACGGCAGCACAGUAAGAGCUUGCUCUUACGGGUGGCGAGUGGCGGACGGGUGAGGAAUACAUCGGAAUCUACUUUUUCGUGGGGGAUAACGUAGGGAAACUUACGCUAAUACCGCAUACGACCUACGGGUGAAAGCAGGGGAGCUUCGGACCUUGCGCGAUUGAUUGAGCCGAUGUCGGAUUAGCUAGUUGGCGGGGUAAAGGCCCACCAAGGCGACGAUCCGUAGCUGGUCUGAGAGGAUGAUCAGCCACACUGGAACUGAGACACGGUCCAGACUCCUACGGGAGGCAGCAGUGGGGAAUAUUGGACAAUGGGCGAAAGCCUGAUCCAGUCAUACCGCGUGGGUGAAGAAGGCCUUCGGGUUGUAAAGCCCUUUUGUUGGGAAAGAAAAGCAGCAGGUUAAUACCCCGCUGUUCUGACGGUACCCAAAGAAUAAGCACCGGCUAACUUCGUG
rnacentral:rRNA from 1 species